rnacentral:lncRNA from 1 species
GCCAUUUCUUUGGAAUGUGGUUAACCCGCCCAUAUGCACUCCUUCAGUUGUGUUUAAGUGGAAUUGCUCCAACUGUACAAGGCCUUUACACCAAGUGUACAAUGGUAAUGUACUAAAUGUACAAGGGUGUACAAGGGUGUGUAUCUUAAGGUAUUUCAAGUGAUUUUGAAGAACUUAGUCAUCAACAUUUUCCACUCGUCGUGAACAUUCCUCACACAUAUCGGUUGACAACACACUCCUUCCACGUAUAUUAUUUUAUUUGUACAAUGUUAGUUCAUUGUUUUAGCUCCCCCACAUUACUUAGGCGUAGGAACCGAAAUGAGGGUUAAGUUUUUCCUCCUUUUCCCUUAUCCACGAUAAUGGAAACAUUGUUGCCCCACCCAUAUGCACUUGUUCGGUCGUCCCUUUGGUGGAUUGCAUAACUGUACAAGCCAUUUACACUAACUGUACAAUCCAAA